UAUUACAUUUUGGUCAAAUUUAGGUCGAUUUUGAUCACAAAUUAGCUCAAAGGGAUCAUCGGUAGGCCCAUUUUAAAUCCUGUGGUGUUUCAUUAUGAUUUAAUAACUUUCAAAUUUGACCACUCAUGUCACAGGUUGCUAACCAUAUUCAGGGAAACACCCACAUACAACAUUUAUGCAACAUAUGACAUAUAGCAAAAUUACAUAUGUUGGACUAUGGUGGUAUUAGACUAUGGUGGUAUUCUCAAAGGUUGACAAUGUUUCACUGCAUUGUAAUUGACCAUCUCUUUCUACUUAGUUGGAGGUGUAGAUAUACUUUGUCCUAUAGAUAAAACAUUAACCAAGGCUUCAGGACUUGCCCUCUCUGGUAGAUGGAAAAGAUUCCACGGAGCAAUUCUGAAAAACAAAACCAUAUUUCCAUUGUUGACAGAAAUGCUGGAGAAACUCAGAGGGUGAAGCAGCAUUUAUGGAGCAAAAGAAAUAGGCAACGUUUCGGGCCGAAACCCUUCUUUUUGUAUUCCAUCACAUACAAAAUGACAGGCUAUUUAGUUAUUAUUACUGUCUGAGGGAUUUCACGCAAUUGGAUGCCACAAUUCCUACAUUAUUACAUGACUAUGCUUUAAAAAAAAUCAAUUGGCUAUAAAGCAACCCAGGAUAUAUUAAAAGAACCCUUUUUUUCUGAAUGAUGUGGGUUAACAAGACUGCUGACCAAGACUCACAAUAAAGUAAGUUAAAAUCAUUGGUCUCUCUUAUGAUAGGCUUUACAAUCCUGAUUCUGCACAGACACAUGGUUCUAAAAGAGUCUUUCAGGGUAGAAGUAGCUCAGCAGGUCAUGCACCAUCUUAGGAGAACAUGGAUAGGUGACAUUUUGAGUCGGGACUGUUCUUCACUCUGUGCCUCCAUGGCACCCAACUUCCCAAAUGAGUUGAAUGUUUUUAUUUCCAACAUGUGCGGUUUAAAAAAAAAAUUGUGAUGUAUUUCAUGCGUCCUAACUAUAUCCCAGGAUUGAAUGACUUUACGAGUUGUGUGCCGUGUAGGUGUGUGGCCCCUAUCCUGCAGACAGAAAGGAGAAGGUUGUUCUUCUGAGCAGGGGGAUAAUUGACGGAGGCAGGCAAGCAGAUAAGCAGUUUAACUGUACAAAGGGAUGCUGAUUGAUGGAGGUCUAAGAAUGAAUUGAGAAGGGGACUGCGGAAGUUGUUUUCCCCAAGGGCAAAUAACGCAAGGGGUGGAACUGGCAGAGAGUGGAGAGAUGUGGUUGGGAAGGGAGCUGAGGAAGUGGUCAGAGAUAGUCUUGUUAAAUCAGGCAGAUAAUAGCCCGGAUAAUAAAAGUAGAUGCAAUUAAUUUCAGCUGAUUGCUUCAUUUUUGUCAUUACUGUUAUUAAUCAUUUAGAAAAUUGCUGUUUUGGCUACAUUGGGCAAAAAUUAGACUAAAAACUGAGAAAGGAAAUAAUGAAUAGAAACCCGCAUGCUAAAGAUCAUGGCUUUUGUGCAAUCUGAUAUCCAACCAUACCCUGGGUAACGUGACUUGCCAGAGGCAAGAUUGUGACAGUGAAACUGUUUCUAUUUAUAUCAAGUUAUUUCAAUGGUUCGGCAACGUUGUUUUUGAUCCUUGCUCACCAGGCUACUGACCGAGGAUGUAAUGAAAGGCAUUUCUGUUCCUUCAUUCGUUCACAUGAAUCUCGUUCAUUUAGCCUAGAUCCUCAGGAAACAACCAGAUGUUUUUUGUUAAUAGGAUCCUUUCCCUCCUUUCAACCAGGGCAGUCCUGAAUUUACUCAUGAGCAAAGUAUCUACAAAAGAAAGUAACUGAAGUACGACUGAUUUGUGACUAAUAGAAAACCACUUUAAUAGCAGACAACUGGCUUGUGGCUUGUUCAUAAGUUAAAUGAGGAAAAUUUAAUUGAACACUGCUCAUUCUCCUACCUUCGUCAUUUGAGGGCAGCCAGGUAAUCAGUUCUGAAUGCUCUCCUGUCUUCGACCAUGUUCUGACCGGGUGAAUUAGUCCGAAGAAGGGUCCCGAAUGGAAACGUCAUGUCAUCCAGAGACGUUGCCUGACUUGUUGGGUUACUCCAGCACUUUGCACUUUUUUUUUCUAAACCAGCAUCUGCAGUUCCUUGUGUCUAAUGUUUUGAAGUUCAGCUUUUCAGGUCUUGCUUUAUGUUGAGUCAAAUGAUCAAAUUAUAGCCACAAAUAUACUGGAGUAAUGCAGCGGGACUGGCAGCGUCUCUGGAGAGAAAGAAUGGGUGACAUUUCGGUUGAGACCCUUUUACAGAUAAAGUGAUAAAAGGGUUUAGAGAUAACUCAAAUAUUAGCACUGUUUCUUCUCCUGAGAUGCUGCCAGACCUGAUGCACCCUGUAGGCUCCGAAGGAGAUGUCAGAGAGCUUUGCAUAAUUAUUUUUGUACGUGUGGGAUUUGAAGCUCAGUCACAAAUAUAUACUUUUAUGAUGAUAUAUAGAAGUCAUAUUGCAAAGAUGAAAAAUCUGUUGCUGUAACAAAAAUGUUCCACCAUAAUACACAUUUAUUGUAACUACAACAGGUAUUCUAGGUAUUUUACAGGAGUGUCAUCAAACAAUAGAAAGGUGCUGUGCUAUAUAUUAGGACUGAUAAAAGAUUAGUUCAAUGAGGCAGGUUUUAAGGAGUGCCUUAAAGGAGGCGGAGAGGUUAGGGAAGGAAUAUCAGAGCUCAGUGCCUGGGUUGUUGAAGGCACAGCAAUCAUUGAUGGAGCAAUUCAAUUCAGGGGCAAUCAGAAGCUCAGAAGCAGAGGAACAUAGCAUCUCAUUGAACUCCAAGGCUGGAAGAGAUUACAGAGUGUAAUUGGCGGAGAGUUCUCUCGCAUUUCUCUUUACGGGAUUACAGCCAAGCAGAAGCUAUGAAUUAUUUUAUUUAUCUUUGCCUUCAGUAAGAAUUGUCCAGUCUCAUUACUAAAAAAAGAUUUUGAUGGCUCUCAGCAGGAACAGGAGCUCGCUCGUUUAAUCAGACCAAACGCAACAGAACUCUCUGAGGGCAGUUCUCUGAAGAUAAAAACAACAAAAGGUUGGCUUGUGCACUUUCCAAUGCCAGCAGCUCUGCGCAGUUGGACACAGAUAAAAACCUCACUGUGACAGUCAGUCAAUGGCUCCUGUGGAGUUCAGACAUUAAUUUAUUUGAUAGCGCUUGCAGCUUUUUAUUAUCCAGUUAAAGAUGGCAAAUAUCUUACAUGGCUAGAUCUGGGAUUUGAUAUUUGCUAUGAUUAACAGCAGCCGCACUUCAUAAUCCAUGGCAAAGUGCAGGAAAUUCACCGGGGGGGUCAUCUGGACUUUAUGCAAUAGAGCAGAACAAAUCGCAGCCGGUUUUAUAUCUCCCUGCGUUUUUGUUUCCAUUUCAGUCAAUCGUAAUAAAAUAAAGAGAGAUGUAAAAUUGGCUUCUGACUUGCUCUGAGCCGCUCAACACUAAUAUGCAUUAUUCCCAUGGUGACGGAGUGUGGUGACAUUUUGCCAGCAGCCAGAACAGGUUUAAGAUUAAAUAUCGUUGUUUUGAACUUCUGAAGCUAAAAGUAACAGCACAAAUCAGUGUUUCAACAGACGGGCUUCUAUUCCAUUUAAAUGGAUUAACGCUACUGUGAACUCUCGAUGGCAAUGGAGUUCCUGAUGGCAGGGGAAUCCCCGACCCCGUGGCCUACAUAAACCAUGAGUGCACUACUUGGAAUUGCCGGGGAUACCACCAUUGAGCCCGGGAACGUGGUCGUCGGGGAGGCCUGAUAAUAAGAAUGAAGCUAAACACAAAAGAUGUAGUAACUCGAACCAUCCUACCACAACUCGUCAACAGACCUGAACUACUAUCUACCUCAUUGGAGACCCUCAGACUAUCUCUGAUCAGAUUGUACUAACUUUAUCUUGCACUAUACAUUAUUCACGUUAUUAUCUUCAUCAUGUAUCUGUACACUGUAAAUGGCUCGAUUGUAAUCAUGUUUUGUCACUCCGCUGACUGGUUAGCACGCAACAAAAGCUGUUCACUGUACCUCGAUACAUGUGACAAUAAACUAAACUGAACUAAACUGACUUAGCGGGUUAGGCAGCAUCUCUGGGGAAAAGGAAUAGGUGACGUUUCGGGUCAAGACCUUUCUGAGGGUUUCCCAAUCCAGCUCACAGACCAGAUGCUGUCAUCUGGAAAAAUGAAAAGAUGUCACUGUGAGCCUCAUGGUAAACUCUUCAUGGUGUCAGAUGUAGUAAUCUUGUCCAACUCCUGCCAGGAUCAUUUACCAGUGAAGUGGUGUCCCUUCGACACCCGGGGCGGGCGAUGCACCUCCAUCGUCGUGAAUGCGGUCUACAUCCCGCCCAAGGCAGAUGUCCGGUUAUCACUGGGAGAGCUGCAGGCCCUGGUCAAGAAACACCAAAUGGCAUACCCCGACACCUCUUCCAUCAUAGUCAAGGCUUCAGCAAGGCUAGUUUGAAGAAGUUGCUUCCUAACUACCACCUGCACAUGGCUUGCUGCACUAGAGGGUCAAAUGUCAUUGUCCACUGUUACUCACCAUCAAAGAUGCCUCAGCACCAGCAGUGAGGACAGCACAGAGCUUUUCAAGGAGAGUUCUGCGACUGCUUGAUGCCAAUAGAUUGAGCGAUGUUCAAGGACUCGGCAAUGUACCAGCACGAAUAAGCCCCGUUUGUUACUACCUCCAUUAGGGAACACGUGGAAACUAUCUUCCUACCAAGAUCAUCUGAGUAGAAACAAGGAACUACAGAUGCGGGUUUACCAAGGAAAAACUAAAAAUGCUGGAGUAACUGAAAUUUAAUGUAAUUUCACCGUCUUGAUCAAGUCAAAUAGUGAUUUUACACCUGUGGAGUGAAUCACAUUUCCAGCCACAUCAUGCCCAUAACCUACUCUACUUUCAGCUGAACAAGCUGUAUAAAAUCUGUCUGAAGAAGGGUUUCCUGGGUUUCACUGAAGAAACCAGUCUGAAGAAGGGUUUCGGCCCGAAACGUUGCCUAUUUCCUUCGCUCCAUAGAUGCUGCCGCACCCGCUGACUUUCUCCAGCUUCUUUGUGUACCUUCGAUUCUCCAGCAUCUGCAGUUCCUUCUUAAACAAUAAGCUGUAUAAAAUGCUUUACUCACUCUAUAACCAUGACUGCAUUCUGACUGGUUGCAUUGUGGCCUGGUUCAGCAACUUGAACGUCCAGGAGCGAAAAAGACUACAAAAAGUUGUGACCACUGCCCAGUCCAUCACCGGCUUUGACUGUUGAAGGAAUCUAACAUAGUCGCUGCCUCAAGUAUGUAGCCAAAAUCAUCAAGGACCCACACCAUCCUGACCACACACUUAUCUCACCACUGCCAUCAGGAAGAAGGUACAGGAUCCUAAAGACUGUAACGUCCAGGUUCUGGAACAGCUUCUUCCCCACAGCCAUCAGGCUAUUAAACACAACGAAUAAGCUAUGAGCUUAUAACAAUAUAAUAAUAUAUUAUUAUUUGUGAUUUGCACUAUAUUUGUUAUUUAUUGAACUUUUUUUUUUUUUUACCCCAUUAUAUACAAUGUUUACAUAUUCACAUAUUCUGUUGUGCUGCAGCAAGUAAGAAUUUCAUUGUCCCAUCCAGGACAUAUGACAAUAAAACACUCUUACUCUU